rnacentral:rRNA from 1 species
AACGAACGCUGGCGGCGGGCUUAACACAUGCAAGUCGAACGCAUCCUUCGGGGUGAGUGGCAGACGGGUGAGUAACGCGUGGGAACGUGCCCUUCAGUUCGGGAUAACCCAGGGAAACUUGGGCUAAUACCGGAUACGUGCGAGAGCAGAAAGAUUUAUCGCUGAAGGAUCGGCCCGCGUCUGAUUAGCUAGUUGGUGGGGUAAUGGCCCACCAAGGCGACGAUCAGUAGCUGGUCUGAGAGGAUGAUCAGCCACAUUGGGAUUGAGACACGGCCCAAACUCCUACGGGAGGCAGCAGUGGGGAAUAUUGGACAAUGGGCGCAAGCCUGAUCCAGCCAUGCCGCGUGAGUGAUGAAGGCCUUAGGGUUGUAAAGCUCUUUCGUCCGGGACGAUAAUGACGGUACCGGAAGAAGAAGCCCCGGCUAACUUCGUGCCAGCCGCCGCGGUAAGAC